rnacentral:misc_RNA from 1 species
UACGUAGGGGGCAAGCGUUGUCCGGAAUUAUUGGGCGUAAAGCGCGGGCAGGCGGUCUGUUAAGUCAUUUGUGAAAACCCGGAACUCAACUCCGGGAAUGCAGUGGAUACUGGCGGGCUAGAGAAUGGUAGAGGCUAGCGGAAUUCCUGGUGUAGCGGUGGAAUGCGUAGAUAUCAGGAAGAACACCUGUGGCGAAGGCGGCUAGCUGGGCCAUUUCUGACGCUCAUCCGCGAAAGCGUGGGUAGCAAACAGG